UUUUUUUUUUUUUUUUUUUUUUUUUGAGAAGAGCUAAUUUUCAAGAAUGGGAGAUGUACUAGACCUGAUUUUUAUGUUAAUAUUGUCUUGAAAAUCCCAGGAAUUGUGGAAGUUCAGUGUGCUGUGUCUCCAUAACCACAGUAAAAUGUCUGUGCAAGUGUAAUGGGAAUUAUAUACUGAACAAGAGGUCAGUCCUGUGUACUGAGCCACACUUCUGUCAUCAUCCAGUAUGAAUUAAGCUUUUUUAUUAAUCACUUGGAAAGCGAAGUAGAGACUAAGUUUAUUCAUUAUGCAGACAAUGCCAAAGUAAGAGUGGAAUUGCUCUACAAACACUGAAGAAUUGGAUUAAAAUUUGUUUUUCUCAGAUGGGUCUGAAAUAAGAUACAAGUCAAGUACAAAAUUCUGUGUUUGUUUAUGAGCUAUCAAGGGCACAUCCCUUAGAAUUAGUGAAUGAAUUGUUUGCUUGGCAAAAGGUCUGAAGAGGAAGAUGUGGUGAUCAUUGUUGCCUUACAUUUAAACUGUGGUUCAGAGUGGCAUGUGUUGGAAGCAAAACCAUCCAGGGGGCAUAAAGAGGACUGCUGUAUACAAGGCUGUAUGCAAAGUCACCUGCCUGCUUUACUUAGCUCUGCUGAAGCUUGACUGAAAAAGUAUCGUGUCCAUUUUCAGGCAUCCUUUAUCAAGAACUAUGUGGGCUACCUUGAGGUGGUUCUCAUCUACCAGAAGUUUGCAGAAUUUUACAUAUUUAAGAAGUUUUAAAGGAGUCGGUUUGUUUAAUUUGCAGAAAAGAUGCAAGAGAAACACUCCAAGUUUCUUGCAUAUAAUCACAGGCAGAGACAAUAUAAUUCUCUGCAUCCACAGGAAAUAAGACUUUCCAAAACAGAAUGAAAGGGAGACACAUAAACAUCAGUAUUUCUCUGAUAAGGAUACCUAAGAAUUGAAAUAGAUUGUCUAACCUGUUCUUACCUUCUAGAUAGAGAGAUUUCAUGGCUUUGAUGGGUAGCUGUGUCUUGGAAUAGCUCAGCUGCAGCUGGUUGUGGCUGUCAGGAUUUUCCAUCUUCAGUGAAUUAAUGUUUGUAUAUAGCUGAACACAAGGGUUUACACAGUGAUAAGAAACAAGUAGAGAAGGUCACAAUGUGUUGUUUUAGAAAGAAGAGGUGUGUGUAGAUCUUCAAUGCCUAGAGUUUAUUGGUGAAUUCUACUGUAAAGUGGGAUUGAUCUGCUGUAUUUUUUUAAUCACCUAAAAAUGCAUGACAGAAUGUGCCAUUAAGUGUCAAGUGAAGGAAUCAAAGACUGCAUCAUGUCCUCUGUUGACAGGCUGCUUUACAAAGAGGAUGUAGCAAUUAAUAGCAGCGCACAUUCUCUGAUGAGUGCAUAAACUACAUGUCCAGACACCUGAGAGAUCUGUAGGAUUAUUUGCAAAUCCCUCAUAUGAAGAAAAAGACAGCUCAGACCUACUGGCCUGAGUGCAUUUUUAACCCAGCCUUUCUCAGAUAUGACAAGAUGUUUAUUUGACACAGCAGCACAGCUGCAGCUGCAUGUGAGUUAGUCAGUCUAGCUGCUGUAGCAGGACUUUUUCUCUACUUGUUAACUUGUACAUGAUGUGGCAUUUAGAGCUGAAAAUUGCCCAUUCUAUAUACUCAUUAAAAUAUAGAGCCAUAUCUUUUCAAGGAUGGUGGGGAACAUCACUUGCCUCAGCAUGACCAGAAAUGCAGUUCAGGCAACCAUGGUGUGUGCCAAAAAAUACUGGCUCUAUUUCCUAAGAGCUCAGCCCCACAGCAGGGCUCCAGCCAAAGACUUUGGGAGUGAGAAACAAGGAGGAAAAAACCUCUGCUCGUACUCUAAAGGUAUGGCCAAGUUCUGCAGGUGACAU
ensembl:lncRNA